rnacentral:lncRNA from 1 species
AUUAGAUUGGCUUGGAGCUUGACAGUGUUGAACGGAAGUAAUUAAGACUUCAAGAUCUGUUUCAACGAUUUCCAUUGCUAAUUAGACUAUGGGAAAAUGCUUCAAAAUACAAGAUGGAGAAGACCCAGAAAGGAUUAGAAUCCUCUCGAUGUGCUAUUUAAAAGACUUCAUAGACCUUCUUGACUUUUUCUCAUCAAGGCUGAGAAAUUUUUGAGAAACCCAUUGGCCAUGUUACCCAGAGCAAUUGCCUUCUAGGCUGGCCACCCCAUCCUUGAAUGUCCGCAUGCUCUAAAUCACACUUGGAGUACCUAUUUCUCUGCAAAUGUUCCCUAACUGUUCCAUAUGUAAUCCAUGGCACAGAAUCCAUGUGCAGUCCACAAGAGCAGAGGAAGCUGAGAUGCCUCGGACACCGGUCAUCAAAAGGAAGUGGAAACUGGAGACUCCCCUGGCUCUGCCUG